GAUGAACGCUGGCGGCGGGCCUAAUACAUGCAAGUCGAGCGAACAGAUGAGGCUCUUGCCUCUUUGCCGUUACCGGCGGGCGAGUGAGUCCUACGUGUGUGACCUAUCUAUAGGACUGGAAUCACUACGCGAACCCUGGGCUCAUACCGGAUAUCAUGUUGAACCGCAUGGUUCUACAGUGAACGCGCGCUUUGCUGUGACUUAUUGAUAGACGCGCGCCGUAUUAGCUAGUUGGUGGGGUAACGGCUAACCAAGGCAACGAUACGUAGCCGACCUGAGAGGGUGAUCAGCCACACUGGAACUGAGACACGGUCCAGACUCCUACGGGAGGCAGCAGUAGGGAAUAUUCCGCAAUGGGCGAAAGCCUGACGGAGCAACGCCGCGUGAGUGAUGAAGGUCUUCGGAUCGUAAAGCUCUGUUAGUAGGGAGGAAGAAAAGCGAGUGUAACUGUGCGUGUUUUGACGGUACCUAAACAGUAAGCCACGGCUAACUACGUG
rnacentral:rRNA from 1 species